rfam:Nitrospina sp. SCGC_AAA799_A02 AAA799A02_57, whole genome shotgun sequence.
CUACCGUCAUCGAGAGGUGACGGGACGGGUGGACAGAAGUCAGCCGAGGGCAUAGUGUGCGCUGGGCAGCGUACAAGUC